rnacentral:lncRNA from 1 species
AGUGAUAGAUUGCUGCAGGAACUGGAAGGGUCAAAGAAAAUGUGAAUUAGAGCCCUUACAACGUUAUAGGAGAGCCAUCUGAGUUGGAUACAGCUACUGUCUUUGCCAAAUGUCAACUUCAGGAAAUGAAUAGUCAUGUAUCAGUCAACCUAGGACUGAGAAAGUGUGAAAUGGGACUGAAGAAAAUGGUGAGAUCAGAUUCUUAGGAAACAGAUUCUGAUGGAGUGACCUGGGACCCAUCACCUGUAAGGCCCACAGGAAGAAGGGUCAGAUAUCAAUCACCCAGAGAUCAUUACACAGGAACUCUGCCUUAAACAAAGACAUCUGGCACCAUUUAUGAGUGCAAAUGCAGAGGCAGGAUGACUCUCAGCAAGCAAUUUUACAUGUGCUGACAUCAACACCUGUUCAUCGCCACAACGAGACACCAACUAUUCCUAAGAGGAAAAAGAUGUAACCUAUAUACCCACAAAGUGGAUUGGGAAUAUAUGGUCAUAUGGUAUAUUAAAACCAUAUCAUAGAAACUAUUGAGAAUUUACCUAACACAUCAUGACAACAAAGUGAACAGCACCCUACCUGAACCAUGUAAAAGGGAAAAAGCUGUAAUGAAGACAUCCCUAUGAACCUGUCAACUAUCUUGUGUGUGUACACUGGAAGACAGACAGACAUAGAAGUCCUGACUGUCCUUGAUGCUUCAGCUCAGCAUGCUACUUGAUGUCCUACAGCUUGAUGUCGCCCACUAAAGUUUCUAGUUUUUGACAGGUCCUAUGUCUCUUAGGCUCUACUCUACCCUGCAACCCAAUAACUUGGCUAUGUGGGUCUACAAAAUCUUCAACCAGAUUAAUAAAGGUCUACUGUAAACACCUUCA